UGAUAGCUCAGUUGGUAAAGCAUGAGACUUGGGGUCGUGGGUUCGAGCCCCGUGUUGGGCAAAA